GGAGGCUCCUGUCUUAUCCUCUCCUCUGGACUGAAGAUACCCCAAGGAAAGGACUUGAACUUGCUUGUGUCUGCUUCAAUAUCUGCAUGCACAGAGUUAGGUGGAUCCCGAUAUUGUUCUUUAUGCCUCUGUUUCCAUCAGAAAGCACAGCUUCUCAAGGAGGGAAGUGAACAGCGGGAAUCAGACGGUGUCCUGGCCUGCAGCCAGCAUGUGGCUGAUCACCAAGGUACCUAGGAGCAUCUGCUCUACCCAAAUGAUUGCUCCUUCUUUGCUGCCAUGUUGUGCUGCUCCAGAACCUGGGCCCUCUUGCAUAUAAGCAUACAAGUGGAAGCAUGUUAAAUUGUGGACUAUUAAGAACAUAUUUUCUACUCUUGGUAUUGUCUAAUGCAAAAGA
rnacentral:lncRNA from 1 species